rnacentral:rRNA from 1 species
UACGAAGGAUGCAAACGUUGCUCGGAAUCAUUGGGCGUAAAGCGCACGUAGGCGGCCUCGCAAGUCGGAUGUGAAAUCCCUCGGCUCAACCGAGGACGUGCAUCCGAAACUGCGGGGCUUGAGUACUGAAGAGGAUCGCGGAAUUCCCGGUGUAGAGGUGAAAUUCGUAGAUAUCGGAAGGAACAUCAGUGGCGAAGGCGACUUCCUGGACCAAUACUGACGCUCAGGUGCGAAAGCGUGGGGAGCAAACAGG